AAAGCUCGCUGUUCACGGUUUAGGACUACCUGAAAACGCACGUCUUGAAAAUCAGAUGGGGAUGGUGGUGGUGAGGGAAACGGGGUUCACACCGCCUUUGCGUUGUGUUUUCCCCGCUUCCACGAUUGUCGGAUGGAAACUGAGUCUGCAGAAAAAGCUGGCGCCUCGUGGGUCUGCCACUCUGCCUUGGGAGAGAAUGCGACGGACUCGUUGUCAGGAAGAUUGGACCAAAAGCAGAUAGUCUCCCCAACCCCUCCCCCCGCUCCUCCCCGCCAUCAGCGACUCCCUCAAGGGGCGAUUUCCCACACUCUACACCGCCCUGUCCUGGGCCUUGGGAUUCCCAACCUCGUGUAGACUCUGCACCUGGCUACCUAAGUGCCACGGGAUGCCCCACAGUCAAGUGGGUGAGGGGUGGUCAGGGAGAGGGGAGUGAAACGGGGCGACAUGCCGGGCCACACAAGGCACCCCACGACCCAGUUCCACGCCACUCCACCCGGCGUCCAAGCGCCUACCAGGGAGCUCCGCAUCGUCAGGUUUUUACUGUCUAUACAUCCGAGGGCCUGCUGGGAUCCGAAAGGCUGGGGAAAGUCUGCAAAGGCUUUAAAGUGAUCCCGAGGAGCUCCUACCUAAGGCGUUGAGUGCUGCCCAUGGCUCCCCCACUGCGCCUGGCGGGUGCUGCCCUGGUCCCAAGUGCCCCCAGGCCCCAAGCUCUCGCAGUCCCUCCCGCUCCCAGAGUCGCGGCAGGACUGACCCAAGAGUCCACCAAGAAGCCUCUAGCCCACCGAGUCGAGCUGUUCGGAGGGAACGGGGCCCGGAGUCCCCCAGGAGGUGCCUCUCCACAACCUUCUGCGCUGACACAGGGUCGCCUCGUCUCCAGAGACGAAGUCUGCAGCCCCCUUAGACUUGACUUUUCAGUUGGGUUGGGGAGGGGAUAGGAGGCUAGUGGAGGUGCCGGAACCGCCCCCUUUCUCCCACACCCCCACCCCCACCCCGCCCCCGGGUGCUCUGGGCUCUACGCAGAGACCUGUCCGCCCUGCACCUGCCGGGGGCCAGGACUCAGGGUUAGAACUCUGUGGCAGCCGCGUUCCGGCCCGGAUCCCCUCAACUGCCGCCGCGGCCCGAAGGAUCGGCACGCGGAGGCCGGCCCAGCCCCAGCCCCAGGCCCCAGGCAUCUCCCUCCUGCCCUGCAGCAGACUCGGGGGGCGCUGCACUCGGCAAUGAAGCCUGAGCGCAAAGUCUGCGCGCCGCGUGGGAGACGCGGGCGGGAGGGUGCGCGUGGCGCUGGUGUUUUUUCUUUUCAGAACCUUUCGACAUCACUACAAAGUUUCUUAGUAGGCGCCUGGGCCCCGGGGUCGGAGCCUCCCACCGCCGCUGCUUCCUCUCCCUCCUCCCAGCCCCCUCGAGCCGAACGAGACGGAGCCUCCGGCCGCCGAACUUCACCCCUCACUGCGGGGACCCCGGCGCCCCGAGCGCCGCCCUCCCCACCCCGUCCCCAGGCUCCGCGGUGGUGCUUCUCCCCAGGGCGAAGCUCGCCGGCUGGGCGCACUGGAAGGAGACACCCGCUGCCUCCCGAGGAACUCCUAAUACCAUCCAUACAGCUUUAAUGCGUUUAUAAUUCGAUAAGUGAUUUCAAUUUGAAAUUGUUAGUAACUAAUUUUAUGGGUAAUUUUUCCACAUCAAAUAUUUAAGCAUCAGAUUAAGGGAGCCAGUUCCGACACAGGAUAAUAAGGGGGUUCCCCCCCACCCCCCGCGGCCCCCCGCCUCCCUCAGAUUCCUACCGAGUAGUUUUCCAAAUCCCCAAAAGAUGGCAGUCGAAGCCGACGUUCUUCUUUUCCUGCGGCCCUGCGAAGGGAGGGGCAGAAAGAGGGAAGAGGGAAGGAGCGAGAGAAAGGGGGAGUGAGGGAGAGAGAGGCAAAGGGAGAAGGAAAGAGACAAGAGAAAGGAGAGGGAGAAACUAGACGUUGUACGGACUUUUCAAAAGUCAUUCUUUCACACAUGUCUAAUAUAGGCAAAAAGCAGUGGUGAAUUUCCUGGAAAUGUCCUGGCAGAAAAGAAAGCCAAAAAACGUGCCUUGUGGGCUCAGAGCAGAGGAUGUGAGAAACUCAGCACAUUCAGGCUAACCCCUCCAUUCAGAACAGAAGCAGGAUAGGGGAGCCUGGCUUUUCGGCAUUUCUUUGUAUUUAACAUUAUAUACAUACUGUACAACUCAGAGGCUGUUUCCUCUACAGGACUCUGCCAG
ensembl:lncRNA